GCGGUACCGGUUCCCGCCCGCCAGCGCGCGAGGCGACCCGGCGACC
rnacentral:ncRNA from 1 species